GACGAAGGGGGCUAGCGUUGUUCGGAAUUACUGGGCGUAAAGCGCGUGUAGGUGGUUGUCCAAGUUGGAUGUGAAAGCCUUGAGCUCAACUCAAGAAAUGCAUUCAGGACUGGGCGGCUAGAGGACCGGAGAGGAUAGUGGAAUUCCCAGUGUAGUGGUGAAAUACGUAGAGAUUGGGAAGAACACCAGUGGCGAAGGCGGCUAUCUGGACGGUUUCUGACACUAAGACUCGAAAGCGUGGGGAGCAAACAGG
rnacentral:rRNA from 1 species